UACGUAGGGUGCAAGCGUUAAUCGGAAUUACUGGGCGUAAAGCGUGCGCAGGCGGUUUCGCAAGUCAGAUGUGAAAGCCCCGGGCUUAACCUGGGAACUGCAUUUGAAACUACGAGGCUAGAGUGUGUCAGAGGGGGGUAGAAUUCCACGUGUAGCAGUGAAAUGCGUAGAGAUUAGGAAGAACACCAGUGGCGAAGGCGACUUACUGGACUGUAACUGACGCUGAGGCAUGAAAGCGUGGGGAGCAAACAGG
rnacentral:rRNA from 1 species